GGAGGAAGGGAAAAGAAUACAAGAAAAAAGGAAAAUGCAGCUUUUGCAAAUGGGAAGGAGAUCUAGAGUUGGGAGGAACAGGAAGGGAGAAGGGGAAGAGGGAAUAAAAAAAGAUUCAUUGAAGAAUUAUUAAAAGUAAUUUCAGAAAGAGAGAAAGAAAGAACUGGUCUCCAGAAUGAAUUAGAUUCUUUGAAGGAUGCUGUUGAACAUCAGAGGAAGAAAAACAAUGACCUCCGGGAGAAAAACUGGGAAGCAAUGGAAGCACUGGCAUCAACAGAAAAAAUGCUGCAGGACAAAGUGAACAAGACUUCCAAGGAAAGACAAUAUGUGGAAGCUGUUGAGUUGGAGGCUAAAGAAGUUCUUUUUUUUUUUUUUUUUGUACCGAGGAUCAAACUCAGGUCUUUGUAGGCGGCAGAACCACUGAGCUAAAUCCCCGGCCCAGCUAAAGAAGUUCUUAAAAAAUUAUUUCCAAAGGUGUCUAUCCCUUCUAAUUAGAGUUACAGUGAAUGGUUGCAUGGAUUUGAAAAGAAAGCAAAAGAGUGUAUAGCUGGAACUUCAGGUUCAGAAGAAGUUAAGGUUUUAGAGUAUAAGUUGAAAGAAGCUGAUGAAACACACACACUAUUACAGCUGGAGUGUGAUAUGUAUAAAUCAGUUCUUGCAGAAACACUGAGAAGAGAGCAAGAGCAUUUGGAAAUGAAACUAGAGAAGGCAGAAAUUGAACGGUCUACUUAUGUUACAGAAGUGAGAGAGCUGAAAGAUCUGUUGACUGAAUUGCAGAAAAAACUUGAUGAUUCAUAUUCUGAAGCAGUAAGACAGAAUGAAGAGCUAAAUUUGUUGAAGACAUAGUUAAAUAAAACACUCAAGAAAAUUAAAACUGAACAAAGUGAAAGACAGAAGGUAGCUGGUGAUUUGGAUAAGGCACAACAGUUUCUGGAUCUUAUCCAGUCAAAAAUAGUACAAGCUUCUGGAGAUACUACUGUUAUUGAGAAUAGUGAUGUUUCCCCAGAAAUGGAGUCUUCAGAAAAGGAGACGAUGUCUGUAAGUCUAAAUCAGACUAUAGCACAGUUAUAGCAGUUGCUUCAGGCUGUAAACAGCUCACAAAGGAGAAAUAACACUACCAGGUUUGGAGUGAAGUAAUUGGGAAAUUUCAGUUGAGGACAGCAGAAGGCAUUGUAUUAUAUUUUGCCAAAUUAAAGCCUUAUUUAUGUUUUUACCCUUUCUACUUUGUCAGAAACACUGAACAGAGUUUUGUCUUUUCUAAUCCUUGUUAGACUACUGAUUUAAAGAGAAAAAUUUAAAAAGAAACCAACUCUGUAGACACCUUCAGAAUUUAGUUUUAUAAUAAAAACUGUUUGAAUAAUUAGACCUUUACAUUCCUGAAGAUAAACUUGUAAUAUUUUACCUUGAUCAAUUCAAUUGUUCAGAAGAUCAAAGUGGUAAAGACAAUGUAAAAUUUAACAUUUUAAUACUGAUGUUGUACACUGUUUUACUUAACACUUUGGGGGAGUAACUGCCUCUGACAUCAACUCAAGACACUUUUGUUGCUAAUGUAAUCAGUUUUUGUAAUGGCGGUCAGCAAAUAAAGGGAUGCUUAUUAUUCAAACUUGAAAAAAA
rnacentral:lncRNA from 1 species